CAUUCCUUCAAUGCUCCCUGGAAGUGGUGAAAAACUACUUAGAGCUACAAGGUUUUCCUCAAAUGUUGGGGAAUUCUUGGCUGUUCUGACCCAUUUCAGUGUACAGCGGCACCUUCCACCCCCAACUUAGGUCUGCUUGAUAAAUAAUCAAGAAAAUGGAGGAAAAACAAAGAUGGAUCUCUGCUGAGAAUUGUGUGUGACAGAGUCAAGAAAGAACUUUCCAGAACACUGACUGUCACAAAGGAACUGGA
rnacentral:lncRNA from 1 species